rnacentral:rRNA from 1 species
AGAUUGAACGCUGGCGGCAUGCUUUACACAUGCAAGUCGAACGGUAACAGGCCGCAAGGUGCUGACGAGUGGCGAACGGGUGAGUAGUGUAUCGGAACGUGCCCAGUCGUGGGGGAUAACGCAGCGAAAGCUGCGCUAAUACCGCAUACGAUCUAUGGAUGAAAGCGGGGGACCGUAAGGCCUCGCGCGAUUGGAGCGGCCGAUAUCAGAUUAGGUAGUUGGUGGGUUAAAGGCUCACCAAGCCAACGAUCUGUAGCUGGUCUGAGAGGACGACCAGGCCACACUGGGACUGGAGACACGGCCCAGACCGUCCUACGGGAGCAGCAGGUCGGGAAUUUUGGACAAUGGGCGCAAGCCUGAUCCAGCAAUGCCGCGUGCGAGGAACGAAGGCCGUUACGGGUUAGUAAACC